CCCUGUGUUGAAUUGAGCAAAGUAAUGCAUUAUUGCUUAUAAAUUAUAAUACUGUAUUAUUUCCUCUUUCAAAAGUGACAUAGUCUCGCUUUAAGUCCAACUCAAGUCUCCAGCUCUGGUUUACCCUUUAGGUGAAUUCAGCUUGGCGUACUGUGUCUGACGUUACUGAUCUGGUUUGGCAUCGCUAAAACCUAAAGUACAGAUUCUCUGCAAUCCCACGACACCAUCAUAUUCCUUCUUCUUCCCAUGACCCACAUCCCCUCUAUGUAUGAGCUGUGCAUCAUCACACACCGCAUCUAUUGUCUCCCAGCCAACAAUGCAUGGGUUAAUAACUGGCUAACCUAGAGAGACAUGUAGCUAAAACAACAAUAACAAAAACAACAACAAUUCACAAAGCCGUCCCUCCAAAAAGAAAAAAAAACUGUGACAAUGAUGCCAUCCAGGGAGCACAAGUCCUCCAUUGUUGAGGGCUGACACGCCGUAUUGUGCCUGGCAGACUACAUUGCCUCAUAGCAGCUGGGAUGUGCUGGCAAGGGAAACAGGCCUGACUGUCAUCAGCUGGGGGAGAUACAGUGUGAUGCAAGCAGCAUUACAUCACAUAUGAUCCUCCAGGCAAACGCUUCUACGCCGCUCAGCACAGUUUGACUGGCUGUAAGAGAUUCUAUGGGUUCAUCUGAGGAUAGACUGACUGAAAAUACAAACCACUUUUUUUUUUUGCAUCCUCAAAACUUCAUUGAACAAAUUUCUGAAACACUGAAUGUGAAUUUUGAUAGAGUACUGAAAUUGAAAGUCAUUUUUGGGAUAUACAAACUUUGGAGGUCAUUUUUAUAUUUUAAAAGGCCCUUAAACGUUUAAUAUGGAAUAAGGUAAAAUAAAUAAAAUAAGGUAAAAUAAUAAAUAAAAUGUGUCACUUUUAGGGGAAAUUAAAUUAAGCUUAUAGUCCAUAGUCUGCUUUUAGUCAUGCUUUUUUUGCAUGUUUACAUUUUGCACUUUGGGCAGUUAUGUCAUAAUUCUUUGUUUCUCUUCUCAAGCAAUACUCAUUUUGCAUGGGUUUCUUCCAGGUGCUCCAGUUUCCUCCCGCAGUCCAAACACAUGCAAGUAAGGUGAGCUGGCAGUUUCUAUCAGGAGGCAGCCCGGAGGAGCACAUUUCAGCUUUGAGUUCUGUGAUAAACUGGCUGCCUGUCCAGGAUAUAUCCCACCUCUCCCCCAAUGGAUAGGCUCCAGCUAACAGCCAGUGUGAAUGGAUGGAUGGAAUAACAAACAAAGUUUAAAUGUCAGAAUCUAAACUUGUGGCACAUUUAGUUUGAUUUAUUACACUUAAUCCUUACUUAAUAUUAUAUAUUAUGUACUUUAUUUUCUUAAUGUUGUAAUUUUCUUUCUCAUAUUGUAUUUCUACUCCUGCCCCUUAUGUGGAUUCUGUUUAUACGACACCUACGUCUGUCCGUCCCUUUCCCUACAAAUUUGUCUAAGCGAUGAGGUUGUCAGAUGCUGUACAGAUUGUAAAAGUCUUUGAGAGAAAUGUGUGGAUUUGGACUAUUGAAAUAAACUUGACUUGACUUGUUA